AAGUUGUGUAGUGCGAUCGGUGGAUGCCUUGGCACCAAGAGCCGAUGAAGGACGUUGUGACCUGCGAUAAGCCCUGGGGAGUUGGUGAGCGAGCUGUGAUCCGGGGGUGUCCGAAUGGGGAAACCUGGAAUGUCCGGAGUAGUGUCCGGUGGCCCUGCCCUGAAUGUAUAGGGGUGUGGGUGGUAACGCGGGGAAGUGAAACAUCUUAGUACCCGUAGGAAGAGAAAACAAGUGUGAUUCCGUGAGUAGUGGCGAGCGAAAGCGGAUGAGGCUAAACCGAUCAUGUGUGAUAGCCGGCGGGCGUUGCAUGGUCGGGGUUGUGGGACACGUCACUCAGUUCUGCCGGACUGGGACGGUUACAGCGCAUCAUAGUCGAACCGGUUUGAAAGCCGGGCCGUAGUGGGUGCCAGCCCCGUAGACGAAAUGGUGUUAUGGCCGGAUGUGUAUCCCAAGUAGCACGGGGCCCGAGAAAUCCCGUGUGAAUCUGUCAGGACCACCUGAUAAGCCUAAAUACUCCCAGAUGACCGAUAGCGGACAAGUACCGUGAGGGAAAGGUGAAAAGUACCCCGGGAGGGGAGUGAAAUAGUACCUGAAACCGUUUGCUUACAAACCGUUGGA
rnacentral:rRNA from 14 species